GGGGGGGGGGGGGAGCAGCCUGCGAGCGGCACCGACGGGCUCCAACGGGGCAGCAGCCGAGAGCCGGGUCAUAAAGAGCAACAGCGAAAGGCAGUCGCGACAUCUAGUUAGGAGGAAUUCCUCUAGGAGAAAGUUUUAUUCAGCUACUAAUCCUCUUCACUUGAACCCGAGUUAUUCCUCCCUCUGAAAGCGGUCUUUGCGUUCCACCAAACUUCGCCUGGCUAUUGGGAGAGGGCUCUAAAGCAGCCGGCGGCUUUUCGUGCGAGUUCAGCCUUAGCGCGGCACCCUUUCUCCCAGCAUCUCGCCCGGCGCCUCACAAAAGGCCCCAGAGGUUGGACAAACACAGCACCAGGAAAACACGGCGUGAAAGGGAUCUUUAUGUGCAUGUGUGAGGGCCCGCUGCUAAUAGCUCAAUGUGCUAUUGACACAUCGCAGUGCAAACAGCGAAGUCUUUGGCAAAAUAGCGUGAGUCACAGCGCCGUUCUUAACUUCGCCUUUCGCACAUGUGGGUAAUUUGUGAAACAAAUCAUCUCCGUAUUAUUAAAGCGCAUUUCUAAAGGAAGGUAAGCCGCUGGGGAACCACGACUGCUUCCGACCGUAACAAACUACACGCGCCGCAAAGAAGGCGUGAAUAGAUAGAAGUGGUACCGCAACUUCUUUGACAACCCCGUCGCAUUCGGGCGUCCGUUCCCUUUGGCGCUGAUGCACUUUUAGCUAACGCCCGCUCGCUCCCGUCCCGCAGGCACGGAGCCGGCAUCGCGCGGAGGAGCAGCGCCGGCGCCGUCCCUUCCCGCCCCGCGGGGCUCUCCCCGACCCGCGGAGCCGCAGCGCGAAAAGUUGAGCGCGUCCCGGAGCGGCGCAGCCGAACGCCCAUUGUUCCGCGCCGGGCCGGGCCGGGCGCUGCGCCCGCCGGGGAGCCGAGAGCGCGGCUCCGGAGCUUCCACGGAGCCCCCAGCCCCCCCGUCCCAACCCGAGGAACGACCGAGCGCGGGGUUAAUCACCUUGUUGUAGUUAUAGUAGCCCAAGCACUGGGCGAAGUCCAGGUUGGAGGGGUCUCCGGGCAGCGAGCCGCCCGCCGCGGACGGGUAAAAUCUUACAUCCAUGCCGGUGCUUUGGUCCCAGAAGUGCACUUGGAGAGCCGGUCGGGAGCUGCGAUAGAUCCACCUUCAGGUGCCUUCCCCGGGGCCGGGGCAGUGCGGGGAUGCGGCGGGCGCAGGUUAUUUCUCCUUUUGGACUGCUCUACGUGUUAAACUUGCCAUUAGAUUUCCACUGGAAUGGAAUGAGUGUGCCCUCUCCAUCAAUACUCCUUUGCACCUACCUCAACCCAGCUGCCACGUGGUGCCCUUCUCUCUCCACAGCAAAGUAGGAAAAAGCACAUCGUACAUGAGGAGCAACCACUAGAGGGGAGUUUGACACUCGUGUUGCAAGUUCACAACUAGAUACUGAACUGCGGGGAAAUACGGAAGAUGAGAAAUCCACAGUAAUUAAAAACUACUAUCCUGCCAAACGCACAAAUUCUCACCAUCUUUCCAGAUUACUGACUGAGAUGAUUUCUGGCUUAAUAAAAGUCUGAAUCCCGCUGCCAGCUGAGCUGACUUCGUCCAGUUUCCUGAUACAGAAAGUGUAAAAAAAAAAUGAAGCUGAGCUGAAGAAGAGAACGUGAAGCGUGCUCAGUAAUGAAGACAAAUAGAAAAUAAAAUUGGCUGAGGCUGGACUAGACCUCACAGCCACUGGGCUUCUACAAGCCAGAAAGCAGCAGGGAAGGAAUCUUUCUCUUUCUCCUGCCUGCAAAUCACUGGCCUAACAUGGUAUCCCAUGAAAGUAUACCGCUUUAAAAUAGAUAAUAAUGUCUGCUAUAUGCAGCUAAAAUGUAUACCUAACUGUCCAUGAUUUUUCCUCCUGUGUGUAAUCUUGACUUUAUUUAAAAUGAAUUCCUACUGUACCAUGCACCACAGAGUGACAAGGUCAGAUUUUCAGAAAGCAUCGAUGGGUAUAAUGCACAUCAUGGGUGAACCUUCCUUUAAUGCAAAGAGACACAGUUUCAUUGAAGUUACCUUAAACCUGCAAGAUUUGGCCAUUAUCUGGAACAUCAGACCUGCUGCAGAAUGCGUAGCUGUGGUGGGAAUUAGGACACAACCCCUCAAGUGUUUGGGCACAGGAGGUACAACCAACACACGAUGACCUUCUGAUACCCUACACCUAGCACUUCUGCCAGAAGUCUUCAAGUCUGAUUGAGUCAUCCUAUUAGCCACACGCAGUCUGAUCAUAACACAGAAUUUUUUAUCACAGCAUUAUAUGGAGACCGUCUAGUAAAUAACAAUAAAAUGAAAUCUAAAAAACCCAA